rnacentral:tRNA from 1 species
GUUUAAGUAGUAUAAAUUUWCUUACAUUAUCCUUUCUAGAUAAAAAUAUUUUUAAAAAAUCUUAGAUA